rnacentral:rRNA from 1 species
UUAAGCGAAUAAGAGCGCAGGGUGGAUGCCUUGGCACUAAGAGCCGAUGAAGGACGUGAUAAGCUGCGAAAAGCUUCGGGGAGGAGCAAAUAUCCAUUGAUCCGGAGAUAUCCGAAUGGGGAAACCCGGCAGAGAAGACCUCUGUCAUCCAUACGCCAAUCCAUAACGUAUGGAAGGGAACCCGGUGAACUGAAACAUCUAAGUAGCCGGAGGAAAAGAAAGAAACAUCGAUUCUGGGAGUAGCGGCGAGCGAAACCGGAGGAGCCUAAACCAGCGUGCGUGCAUGCUGGGGUUAAGGACUGCAACAAGUGACCGGAAGGUUAACAGAAUGGUUUUGGGAAAGCCAGCCAUAGAGGGUGAAAGCCCCGUAUGUGAAAACCGGAAGGAGCGGCAGGAUCCAGAGUACUACGAGACACGUGGAACCUUGUAGGAAAUCGGGGGGACCACCCCCCAAGGCUAAAUACUCCUUAGUGACCGAUAGCGCAUAGUACUGUGAAGGAAAGGUGAAAAGGACCCCGGGAGGGGAGUGAAAGAGAACCUGAAACCCUGUGUUUACAAGCUGUGGAACAUCAUUAUUCGAUGAACCGCGUACUUUUUGUAGAACGGUCCGGCGAGUUACGCUUACUGGCAAGGUUAAGCACUGAAGGUGCGGAGCCGGAGGGAAACCAAGUCUGAAUAGGGCGAUGAGUCAGUAGGAGUAGACCCGAAACCGGGUGAUCUAUCCAUGUCCAGGUUGAAGCGAAAGUAAAAUUUCGUGGAGGACCGAACGCACAUCCGUUGAAAAGGGUGGCGAUGAGGUGGGGAUAGGGGAGAAAUUCCAAUCGAACCCGGAGAUAGCUGGUUCUCCUCGAAAUAGCUUUAGGGCUAGCCUCGUAUUAGUCUAGUGGAGGUAGAGCACUGAAUUUCCUAGGGGGCGUCAAAGCUUACCGAAGAAUAUCAAACUCCGAAUGCCAUAUAGAUGAUGUACGGGAGUCAGACUGCACGAGAUAAGUUGGGCAGUCAAAAGGGAAAGAGCCCAGACCGCCAGCUAAGGUCCCAAAGUGUGUGUUAAGUGGAAAAGGAUGUGGGAUUUCGAAGACAACUAGGAUGUUGGCUCAGAAGCAGCCAUACAUUAAAAGAGUGCGUAAUAGCUCACUAGUCGAGAGGUCCUGCGCCGAAAAUGUCCGGGGCUGAAACACAACACCGAAGCUGCGGAACCCGCAAGGGUUGGUAGAGGAGCAUUCUUAAAGGAACGAAGCAGUACCGAAAGGAGCUGUGGACUUUUAAGAAGAGAGAAUGCCGGAAUGAGUAGCGAGAGUAAGGUGAGAAUCCUUACGGCCGAAUAUCCAAGGUUUCCAGGGUAAAGCUGAUCUGCCCUGGGGAAGUCGGGACCUAAGGCGAGGCCGAGAGGCGUAGCCGAUGGACAACAGGUUGAGAUUCCUGUACUACAGUAUGACAGAACUGUGGGGACGCAGAAGGAGAGCACUACCUGGAAUGGAAUCCAGGGGCAAGCACAGGAGGGGUACGGCUGGAAAAACCGCCGUGCAACCCAAAGGUGUGACGCAUACCGAACUAAAGUAGGGAAAUGUGUGAGCCGGCUGCCGAGAAAAGCCGCUAUUGUUUGUACUGUACCCGUACCGUAAACCGACACAGGUGGAUGAGGAGAGAAUCCUAAGGCCGACGGAAGAAGCAUUGCUAAGGAACUCGGCAAAAUGACCCUGUAACUUCGGGAGAAAGGGUGCCUCGAAAGAGGCCGCAGAGAAUAGGCCCAAGCAACUGUUUAGCAAAAACACAGGUCUAUGCAAAACCGCAAGGUGAAGUAUAUGGGCUGACGCCUGCCCGGUGCUGGAAGGUUAAGGGGAGAUGUCAGGAGACGAAGCAUCGAACUUAAGCCCCAGUAAACGGCGGCCGUAACUAUAACGGUCCUAAGGUAGCGAAAUUCCUUGUCGGGUAAGUUCCGACCCGCACGAAAGGCGUAAUGAUUUGGGCGCUGUCUCGGCAAUGCAUCCGGUGAAAUUGAAGUGCCAGUGAAGAUGCUGGCUACCCGCGCCAGGACGGAAAGACCCCAUGGAGCUUUACUCCAGCUUGAUACUGGGAUUCGGUAUUGUAUGUAC